GACGAACGCUGGCGGCGUGCUUAACACAUGCAAGUAGAACGAAGUGGCGAACGGGUGAGUAAUACGUGGGUAACCUGCCCUCCUUUUUGGGAUCAGCCUUGGAAACGGGGUCUAAUACGGAAUAACGGGGGAUGGGCUCGCGGCCUAUCAGCUUGUUGGUGGGGUGAUGGCCUACCAAGGCGGUGACGGGUAGCCGGCCUGUGAGGGGGCCCGGCCACAUGGGGGCUGCGGUACGUCCCAGACUCCUACGUGGGGCAGCAGUGGGGGAUAUUUCACAAUGGGCGAAAGCCUGAUGCAGCGACGCCGCGUGGGGGAUGAAGGCUUUCGGGUUGUAAACCUCUUUCGCUAUCGAAAGGGUAGGUGGAGAAGAGGCGCCGGCUGUGUGCGGGCCAGCAGCCGCGGUAAUUC
rnacentral:rRNA from 1 species